GCGUUGCUCGGAAUGACUGGGCGUAAAGGGCGCGUAGGCGGAUGGUACAGUCAGAUGUGAAAUUCCCGGGCUUAACCUGGGGGCUGCAUUUGAUACGUAUUGUCUUGAGUUCGGAAGAGGGUCGUGGAAUUUCCAGUGUAGAGGUGAAAUUCGUAGAUAUUGGAAAGAACACCGGUGGCGAAGGCGGCGACCUGGUCCGACACUGACGCUGAGGCGCGAAAGCGUG
rnacentral:rRNA from 1 species